GUGCUCGCUUCAGCAGCACAUAUACUAACAUUGGAACAAUACAGAGAAAAUUAACAUGGUCCCUGUGCAAGGAUGAUAUGCAAAUUUGUGAAGUGUUCCACAUUUUU